GCCGGGGUAGCUCAGCCUGGUAGAGCAUCCGGCUGUUAACCGGGUGGUCCCGGGUUCGAAUCCCGGCCCCGGCGCCA
rnacentral:tRNA from 1 species